rnacentral:rRNA from 1 species
UACGUAGGGUGCAAGCGUUAAUCGGAAUUACUGGGCGUAAAGCGUGCGCAGGCGGUUUUGUAAGCCAGAUGUGAAAGCCCCGGGCUCAACCUGGGAAUGGCAUUUGGGACUGCAUGGCUGGAGUGCGGCAGAGGGGGAUGGAAUUCCGCGUGUAGCAGGUGAAAUGCGUAGAGAUGCGGAGGAACACCGAUGGCGAAGGCAGCCCCCUGGGCUAACACUGACGCUCAGGCACGAAAGCGUGGGGAGCAAACAGG